rnacentral:rRNA from 1 species
AACGAACGCUGGCGGCAUGCCUAACACAUGCAAGUCGAACGAGACCUUCGGGUCUAGUGGCGCACGGGUGCGUAACGCGUGGGAACCUGCCCUUAGGUUCGGAAUAACUCCCCGAAAGGGGUGCUAAUACCGGAUAAUGUCUUCGGACCAAAGAUUUAUCGCCUUUGGAUGGGCCCGCGUUGGAUUAGCUAGUUGGUAGAGUAAAAGCCUACCAAGGCGACGAUCCAUAGCUGGUCUGAGAGGAUGAUCAGCCACACUGGGACUGAGACACGGCCCAGACUCCUACGGGAGGCAGCAGUGGGGAAUAUUGGACAAUGGGCGAAAGCCUGAUCCAGCAAUGCCGCGUGAGUGAUGAAGGCCUUAGGGUUGUAAAGCUCUUUUACCCGGGAUGAUAAUGACAGUACCGGGAGAAUAAGCUCCGGCUAACUCCGUG